rnacentral:rRNA from 1 species
AGUAAUGUCUGGGAAACUGCCUGAUGGAGGGGGAUAACUACUGGAAACGGUAGCUAAUACCGCAUAAUGUCUGCGGACCAAAGCGGGGGACCUCCGGGCCUCGCGCCAUCAGAUGAACCCAUAUGGGAUUAGCUAGUAGGUGGGGUAAUGGCUCACCUAGGCGACGAUCCCUAGCUGGUCUGAGAGGAUGACCAGCCACACUGGAACUGAGACACGGUCCAG